rfam:Magnetovibrio blakemorei strain MV-1 Q56, whole genome shotgun sequence.
CUUGGUGGUUAUGGCGAGAGUGAACCACCCGAUCCCAUCCCGAACUCGGCCGUGAAACCUCUUAGCGCUGAUGGUACUGCAUCUUAAGGUGUGGGAGAGUAAGUCGCCGCCAAGU